AACGAACGCUGGCGGCAGGCUUAACACAUGCAAGUCGAACGAGAUCUUCGGAUCUAGUGGCAGACGGGUGAGGAACACGUGGGAACAUCCCUUUCAGUUCGGAAUAACGUUGGGAAACUAACGCUAAUACCGGAUACGUCCUUCGGGAGAAAGAUUUAUCGCUGAAAGAUUGGCCCGCGUCUGAUUAGCUAGUUGGUGAGGUAACGGCUCACCAAGGCUACGAUCAGUAGCUGAUCUGAGAGGAUGAUCAGCCACAUUGGGACUGAGACACGGCCCAAACUCCUACGGGAGGCAGCAGUGGGGAAUAUUGGACAAUGGGCGCAAGCCUGAUCCAGCCAUGCCGCGUGAGUGAUGACGGCCUUCGGGUUGUAAAGCUCUUUUGUCCGGGAAGAUAAUGACUGUACCGGAAGAAUAAGCCCCGGCAAACUUCGUGCCAGCAGCCGCCGCAGUAA
rnacentral:rRNA from 1 species